rnacentral:lncRNA from 1 species
AUGAAACCGAUUAUUCUUUUGCCAGAACGUUCCCCCACGCUAUAUUUACAACACGGGGACAGUGCGUCGUUUGAAAUAAAUAAAAAAAAAACAGUUUUUAUUCCCUCCAUCCUUCGGCUGAACAAAACCCAAACCAACCGCCACAGGUUACGCGACGAGAAGCGAAACCUCCUCAACCCUCCCCGCGCCAUUUCACCCGCCCCGAGCCCCCCGUUCCCCGCCGCCGGCCCCGGGGCCGGGCAAGCCCGGGGCUGGCUGAGGCCAGGAGGCGGAGGCGGAGGCGGGCCGGGGCCGGGGCCGGGGCCGGGCAUGGUGGGGCCGGGGCCGGGGCCGGGGCCGGGCAUGGCGGGGCGGCUGCUGCUGGUGGCGCUGCUGGUGGCGCUGCUGGCGGCGGCCGAGCGGGAGCUGCGCUUCAAGCCGCCGCCGCCGCCGCCGGGCGAGGCCCCCGUGCGGCUUUUCACCGAGCCCGAGCUGGCCAGAUACGACGGGCAGCAGGGAGCAGCUUGUGAUGUGGGAGUGCACAUCCUUUUUUUUUAUCUCCUGUAUAGUCCCCAGUGCUGUUUUCAUUUUUCUUUCUGCUGCGUGAUGACAACAGCUGACACAAGGAUGCAUGGAUAGGUGACAGAGGAGAGCCUUCAGAGCGGCCAGGUAUAGAAAUGCCCCGUACUGUGUUACCCAGAUGCACACAGACAUACCGUUUUUACCAGGCUGCUGAUUAUGGGGUCAAAUAAAAUUGCCAGGCUAUAUAUUUAUUGUGCA